rnacentral:rRNA from 1 species
AUUGAACGCUGGCGGCAGGCCUAACACAUGCAAGUCGAGCGGAUGAAGGGAGCUUGCUCCUGGAUUCAGCGGCGGACGGGUGAGUAAUGCCUAGGAAUCUGCCUGGUAGUGGGGGAUAACGUCCGGAAACGGGCGCUAAUACCGCAUACGUCCUGAGGGAGAAAGUGGGGGAUCUUCGGACCUCACGCUAUCAGAUGAGCCUAGGUCGGAUUAGCUAGUUGGUGGGGUAAAGGCCUACCAAGGCGACGAUCCGUAACUGGUCUGAGAGGAUGAUCAGUCACACUGGAACUGAGACACGGUCCAGACUCCUACGGGAGGCAGCAGUGGGGAAUAUUGGACAAUGGGCGAAAGCCUGAUCCAGCCAUGCCGCGUGUGUGAAGAAAUUCUUAGGAUUGUAAAGCACUUUAAGUUGGGAGGAAGGUUAGUAAGUUGAUACCUGACUGUAAUGACGGUACCUAGAGAAUAAGCACCGGCUAACUUCGUG